rnacentral:lncRNA from 1 species
CUGGUGAUGGUUUUCUUCGAAUCACACUCAGGCUCGUCAAAUUUUGAAUCGAAGAUUAUGCCUAAAUACGAAACCUCCCCAAACCUCUUCGAAUUAACACGACGUCAUUGCCUCAUGCCCGCGUGGAGCAAUUCACAACCACUAAGGUUCAAGGCACGCUCUAGGCGUGCAAAUUUUGAAUAAAAAAGGCGGCCAGAGGUCAAGUCCAGCCGUGAGACUCCAUCUUUUUUUAUCUUCUCUGAUUUUUUUGUCUAAUUAGAACAAUAAUUAAGUUCGUGAAAUCCUGCUUAGUUGUGGCUUAGUUCAGUUUUAACAGCGAUUCAACUUUGUUUUCUCUUUAAUGUAAUUUAAUUCUAGUCCGAAUGUGUCCAGUUCUGUUAAUCAUUAAUUGUCGACCUAGUUAGUUCAAGUAAUUAGUUACUAGACAAAUCGAAAUUGGGUCAGUUCUGAUAAUGGCAAUGUGAUUAGUUUUUAUUAGAUUCUUAAUAGAUAACUUCGUUUGUUAAAUCAGUAAUGUUUUUUUAGGUAUUUGAUAAUUAGUAAUUAGUAGUUCUUUGAGUCAGUUAAUCAUGGUUAUUUUUAAAACUUAGUGAUUGUUCUUCAAUAAUUGGUAAAUCAGAAUUUUAGGAAAUUGUUUGGUCAUAGUUAGUAAUUUUUGUUGAACAAGAGGGGUAAUUGGGGUAAUACAAGGGUAGGGAAUCUUCUAAAAUCUGAAUGGAGGCCUCUAGGACAUUCUAGAUGGGGUUCACUUUAGAAUUCUAUAAAGUUUGGUGGUACAACUUGGAAAACAAGUCAGUUAUUUAGGGAUACUUAAGCAAAAACGAAAAUUAGGAAAGGGUGUAAUGCAAAACUGAAAAUCUAAGGGUUGCCCAUUAUUUUUUCCUAUAUAAGGCCCCUUUUAGUGCCUUAAUUGACAAGUUUUGCAGCCUAAAAUUCCCCCAAAAGCCUCCCAAUAGACCUGAAUCUGAUUUUUGAAUUUCAGAAUGAAUAGGAGUUCAGAUUUUUAGUUUUAGAUCUAAGAUAUUAUAGAAAACCCAAAAGCAGUACAAAUAUUGUCCAAAAGAAAAAGUACUACUGUUACAUUGAAACUAAAGGUUGAUUUCCAUUUUUGUUUGUUAGUUCACGGGCUGUACUUAUUAUUGUUGUCUGUUGAAGGGUACAAGUUCAAUUGAAUCUAGUUAAAUGGGUGAUGGGUUAUAUGUACAUCAUGGAUGCAUUUCUGAUUUGAUUUGUUACAGAACUUGGAGUCUGUUUAGUUUGGAGUGUUUUUAAUUAAAUGAGUCAAGUCACAAGGCAAUUUGGAUUUGAUUUCGGGUGAAAUUUGAUUGUUUUGUGGUUGAAAUCUCCCUGUCGUUUGGUUUCAAACUCGUUCCUGUGCUGCAUUUGAUUAUCUGCUCAUUGCUGCUGUGCUAAUCUCCUCUUCUGUUGAAAUUUUGACUCCCAGGUACACUGCUGAAACUUUGGGCAAUUGUAAACUGAAAACCUGAAGAUUAAACAUAUAUGAAAGAUUGAAGUUCUGAAUUAGUCCUUGUCCAAUUUGUAUAGUUAAAAUUAUUCUCAUUAGAAUUUGUUAGAUUGGCAGUAUUUGGUUUGAGAUUGAGUUGACAAAAAAUGUUAAACAUAGUUCACUGUUACCUGUUGGCUGAAUAGUUUUAUUCUUGUGUAGUUAAAAGUAGGGUCAUCCUGGACUGUAAACGUAAUUGGGAUUGUAAAUCGUUGUGGUUUGUUAAUUGACUUAUAGAUUAGUUUGAUUACAAUAACAGUUGAUUUGAUGAUUUGAGUAAAGAGAAGCCUAUGUUGAUUUUAACUGGUUUCCUGCUAGCUAUUGCAAAUUUGAUUUUAAUUUUAGUAGCAGUGAACUAUGUUUAACAUUUUUUGUCAACUCUCCUGCUAGCUAUUGCAAAUUUGAUUUAAAUUUUAGUAGCGGUAGUUUAAAUCAUGGACCCUAUUCACAUGAAGAAACUACCACAAUUCCAUAUGUUUUUCUCUUCCUGCCUUCAGUUGGACUAGCAUGCUCAUUUAGUCAGUAAUAUAGCUCUAUAAUUCCAUAUAUCCAUUUGCUUAAAUAAUGGAGAAAGUAUGAUGAUUAGUCGUGUUGUGGUGAGGCUGAAACUCUUAAAUUUGAUCACUUCUGAAGUUUUGUUUUAAAUAAACUCACAACUGCAAAUCUUUGUUUAGGAUUCGUUGAUUGUCUCAAGGUUGUGGUGAAGGUUUGGUGCCACGUCCUUUGGGCUCUUUCUAAGGCCCAGUUCUGGGAAUAAUUUUUUAGUGGCCCAAGUUGUGCCCAGCUAAGGACCGUUUCAAAUAAGUUCGUCGGCUCCUGCUUAGGCAUCUUAUCAGCAUUGUUAAAUGAAUUAGGUGGUGUUCCUCAUAAGUAGAGACGCAAAAAAUAGAAAAAUAUUGUUCCCUUUAGGAUAUCCUUUAUUAAAAUGUCGAGACGAGCCUCGCCAAACAAAAAAUAUUACGGGGCCCUAGAGAAACAAUUAUAGGAAUUUAUUAGAAUAUGGGAGGGCCGUUUAACGAAUUUCACAGCCUUCCUCAAAAUAAUAUUGCGUUAGAAUUUUUAGACGUGCUCUAAUUAAAAUACUUUCAUAAAUUCGGGUGUGCAUCGAUGCAACCCAAAUCAAAAUCUCGACGAAAUCGAAAUGUGUUAAUAACCACGGGUGACUUGAUGGCGACGAUGUUAGAAACACGUUUUCAUGACGUCGUAAUUCUUAUAAACAUAUAAUGAUCGAAAAGAGGUUAAAC